rnacentral:tRNA from 1 species
GCGAUCGUAGCUCAGUUGGUUAGAGCGCUGGAUUGUGAUUCCAGAUGUCGCGGGUUCGAGCCCCGUCGAUCGCCCA